rnacentral:rRNA from 1 species
AGCGAACGCUGGCGGCAGGCCUAACACAUGCAAGUCGAACGGACCCUUCGGGUUUAGUGGCGGACGGGUGAGUAACACGUGGGAACGUGCCUUUAGGUUCGGAAUAGCUCCUGGAAACGGGUGGUAAUGCCGAAUGUGCCCUUCGGGGGAAAGAUUUAUCGCCUUUAGAGCGGCCCGCGUCUGAUUAGCUAGUUGGUGGUGUAACGGACCACCAAGGCGACGAUCAGUAGCUGGUCUGAGAGGAUGAUCAGCCACAUUGGGACUGAGACACGGCCCAAACUCCUACGGGAGGCAGCAGUGGGGAAUCUUGCGCAAUGGGCGAAAGCCUGACGCAGCCAUGCCGCGUGAAUGAUGAAGGUCUUAGGAUUGUAAAAUUCUUUCACCGGGGACGAUAAUGACGGUACCCGGAGAAGAAGCCCCGGCUAACUUCGUGCCAGCCGCCGCGGUAAAAC